rnacentral:rRNA from 1 species
CGGUGGAGCAUGUGGUUUAAUUCGAAGCAACGCGAAGAACCUUACCAGGUCUUGACAUCCCGAUGCUAUUUCUAGAGAUAGAAAGUUACUUCGGUACAUCGGUGACAGGUGGUGCAUGGUUGUCGUCAGCUCGUGUCGUGAGAUGUUGGGUUAAGUCCCGCAACGAGCGCAACCCCUAUUGUUAGUUGCCAUCAUUCAGUUGGGCACUCUAGCGAGACUGCCGGUAAUAAACCGGAGGAAGGUGGGGAUGACGUCAAAUCAUCAUGCCCCUUAUGACCUGGGCUACACACGUGCUACAAUGGUUGGUACAACGAGUUGCGAGUCGGUGACGGCGAGCUAAUCUCUUAAAGCCAAUCUCAGUUCGGAUUGUAGGCUGCAACUCGCCUACAUGAAGUCGGAAUCGCUAGUAAUCGCGGAUCAGCACGCCGCGGUGAAUACGUUCCCGGGCCUU